CCCCUGCACUCCACCAUUGGAGAGCCUGCUACCUGGACCAGUGAGGGGCUUGAGUGGAGUGUCUCCAGUGGGACAGACAGUGCCUGUAGUAGCACAGAGGAAUGUCUACUCUGGCAGCCCUCUACUGAGGCAAAUUCUGAUAAAUGGACGAAAGAGACAGCGUGAUGAUGGGUGUCCUGAAGGCAGCUCCCCUAGUCCUAUAGCUGUGAGUAGUAAGAGGUUCUGUCAAGAGGAGGGACAGGUGCCCAACUCUCUGGUGGUACUCACAAGGGGCACACAACAGCUAACCCACAAGAAACACGAUAAUGACGGGCCACAAGUUGUUCCUGAUAGCUGCACAGACAAAGAACAUUCAAUAAAGACUACCACUGAUGACAAAUCCAAUAAUGAGGAGAAUGGUUUCAAGUGGUUCGAGUUCUUCACUGGGAGUAGCGACGGCCUCACACAAGCAGAGGAAUAAUGGACACUAGCUCAAAUAGACUCUCCAAUGUUAUACCCUGUCCCUUAUACUUGUCCCACUGUGCUAUGUAUGAUUCACCAUGUGCAAUAAUUAUUAACAACUUG